GUGGAAUCACAUUUUAACAAAUAUCACCAGCAUAUCUUGGGUACAGUAACAAAAAGGCUUCCCCUUUCCCUGAUCUAUGUGUCUAAGCAAUGGGUGUCCGAGCGCACAGAGGGUCGGAGGCUGCACAUAGCUCCUCGCUGUGCCCGCCAGAAGGUGGUUGUAUCUGUCAGUGUGUGUGGCUCUGUCAUUCAGAGUGUCUGUCAGUGUGUGGCUCUGUCAUUCAGAGUGUCUGUCAGUGUGUGGCUCUGUCAUUCAGAGUGUCUGUCAGUAAGUUUGUGCCAGGGAGAGUUUCAGAUUAGUCAAUUUGUAUGUCUGUCAUUCAGAGUGUUUCUGUCAGUGUUUCAAAUCAGUUAGACUGUGUCAUCCUUUAAAAAUAUAUGGAUGACAUUUCUCUAUAUAAUGUUUGCUAUUGGUGUCUGCUGAAUUAGGUUGUUUGAUUCAUCUGCAUGCUUUGGAUAUGUCCCAUCAUAUUAAGAUUCAUUUUUUGUUUUUAAGAAGCAUUAACGUACAUCUCACUAUUUAUUGGGCAGAGAUCUCCUUUUGCUAAUUCUAUGGGUAUGGGUGAGGUGACUGUGACAAACGCUCCAUCUCAUGUACGUUUGCCACAGACUCCCGGAGGAGUGUAGAAGCCGGCCUCCUGCCCACUGACUAUGGCUCGGUAUGGGACACUGUUGGGCCACAAUUAGUGGCUUUCCCUGGUUCGGCACUUUCCCUACAUGCGAAUGAAAUUGACCGCUGGCAGCUCUGGCAGCCGUUCGCAUGAACCAAACCCACGAAUAGUUCCAGCUGUACUUAGCCGCGACCGAUAUGGAACUAAUUUCAGCAUGAGGACUUCGUGGGUUCCCGGUCACCUCAGCCGGACUUAGCCAUGAAUAUUAUGGAACUCUUUUCGACAUUAGGUGACCGUGCGGUUCCCAGACAACUUGGUUCGCGGUUUUGAACCACUUUGAAAUCCACCAGGAGAGCACUUUUUGGAGGGAAGGUGUCUGAGGCUAAGGGGAACAAACGCUACCUAAGAGCCAGACGGAGCACCCUGUAUUGUGGCCUCAGGAGCUCCUGGAAGUUGACUGGCAAAAGCACCAAAAUGACCUGGAACUAUUUUGAGCAUAGGACCACGUGUGCAGCCGGUCAGAACUUUAAUAUGGUGACGUUUCCCCUACAUUGCAUUGGUCUGGGCACUAUUUGGAGAACUUGGGCGAUCAGAUCAGGGCUAUUUAACAAUGUUAUUGUACGUUAUUACGUUUUGGGGUACUUUUUUGUUUUUAUAUUUGGCUCCCUGUUCCUGGGAGAUAAUAUCCUUACCGGUCUUUAACGCAAUUGUGACGAGACCACAUUCAGACCUGUUAUUUUCCCUGCUGAAAGGUUUAUUCAUGCCUUUCUGCCAGGAUGUUCGGUAGAUUCAAUCUACCGAACAAACUACCGAACGAUGGACCACCUGGGAACUGGAGUGUGCCGUCAAUUGACCGCCCAGAAGCUGCGGUUAACCGCAGCUUAAUUGAUGAACGCUGGGAGGCCUUUGUUCGGUUGCCAAACACGUGGCAGCGGCCAUUUUACCUCCCGAACGGCCAGCGGUGUUCAGUGCCCAAACUAUGGAACUGAAAACGGACACUUAUUGGCGCGAACACUGAGCCGCCAGCCUCCUUACCUUCUCAUUUGGUAGCGGAACCGAAUGACUGUUCAUUCGGUAGUUUAACCGGAUGAACAGCAUCACCCAGAUAGCUAAGCCAUGGAGCCUGUUCAUGUAACGAAAAGACUAUGUGAAGGACUUUGGCUCCAUGGCGAUUGAACUGUAUGUAUGUGAUUUGAGCGCCAUUCGGUAAUAAUGUGCACUCAGAUCUGAGCUAUCUGGGGAUAUGUAGAACGUAUAUGUUUUAUGUACUGAAUGUAACUGUAGGUAAUUUUAUGUCUUUUACUGUUACUGUUACUGUUUUACUGCCAUGUGGUUAAUGGAGUUUUGCCUCUGUCUUUGGAGAUAAUUGGAUUACUUCCCAAUUAUCUCCAGGGCAGAGAGGAUGGAUUGUGAUGCAUUGUGGGAUGGUUGAAAUGUGUAAGUCUGUGAUUGGUCCUUUUACCCUUUGUGUCCCAGUCUCCCAUUUGGUCCCCUAGGGGAGUGUCCACCAGGUGGGAGACCUGCAUAAAAGCGGGGCAGUUAGCCCCAGUAAAUCAGUUCCUGCUUAACCCUCAAAGUGAAGUGUCGUCUCAUUAUUUGGGGAGGAUUUACUGUAUGCUGUUAGAGACUGAUUGCCAGGAGUGUAAGCCGCUUGGGGGCUUUUCCUGUUCGUCUGCUAGCAGCUAUUCGUGUGUCUCCAGUUCGGGAGUUUGGAGUGCUACUUGGUAUGCAGUUCGGGAGUUUCGAGUAUUCCCUUGGUUGCAGUUCGGGAGUUGUUGAAUUUGUGGGUUUGCCGUUCGUGAGAUUGGUGCUUGCAGUAGCUGUCUGUGCAGCUGAAAAAGGGGAAUAUCGCCUAAACGGUUUUUAACCUCUUGUGGGCAAAACGGUCCGUUACAAUCUUGAAAUAGGCAUUGAAAGCCAUGUAUCAGUGUUUUCAGAUGACACAAAACUUUGUAAAGUAAUAAAAUGUGAGCAGGAUAUUGCUUGACUGCAGAGGGAUUUGGAUAGAUUGGGGGACUGGGCACUAAAAUGGCACAUGAAAUUUAAUGUAGAGAAAUGCAAAGUUAUGCACUUUGGGGUCAAGCAUGCACAAGCAACUUACACCCUAAAUGGUAGUGAAUUAGGGAUAACCACACACGAGAAGGAUUUGGGAAUUGUUAUAGACAACAAAUUAGGCAGCAAUAUGCA